GACGAACGCUGGCGGCGUGCUUAACACAUGCAAGUCGAACGGAAAGGCCCUGCUUUUGUGGGGUGCUCGAGUGGCGAACGGGUGAGUAACACGUGAGUAACCUGCCCUUGACUUUGGGAUAACUUCAGGAAACUGGGGCUAAUACCGGAUAGGAGCUCCUGCUGCAUGGUGGGGGUUGGAAAGUUUCGGCUGUUGGGGAUGGACUCGCGGCUUAUCAGCUUGUUGGUGGGGUAGUGGCUUACCAAGGCUUUGACGGGUAGCCGGCAUGAGAGGGUGACCGGCCACAUUGGGCCUGCGAUACGGCCCAGAAUCGUACGGGACGCAGUAGUGGGGAAUAUUGCACAGUGGCGGGACGCCUGAUACAGAAACGCCGCGUGCGGGAUAACGGCCUUCGGGUUGAAAACAGAUUUCGCCUGUAACGAAGCGUGAGUGACGGUAAUGGGUAAAGAAGCACCGGCUAACUACGUG
rnacentral:rRNA from 1 species